rfam:Colinus virginianus strain Texas jcf7180006226694, whole genome shotgun sequence.
CCAAAGGCUCUUUUCAGAGCCACCACUUAUUCAACUAAAAGGGCUGU